GUGGGGAAUUUUGGACAAUGGGCUCAAGCCUGAUCCAGCAAUGCCGCGUGCAGGAAGAAGGCCUUCGGGUUGUAAACUGCUUUUGUACGGAACGAAACGGUCCGGGUUAAUACCCUGGGCUAAUGACGGUACCGUAAGAAUAAGCACCGGCUAACUACGUGCCAGCAGCCGCGGUAAUACGUAGGGUGCAAGCGUUAAUCGGAAUUACUGGGCGUAAAGCGUGCGCAGGCGGUUUUGUAAGACAGGCGUGAAAUCCCCGGGCUCAACCUGGGAAUUGCGCUUGUGACUGCAAGGCUGGAGUGCGGCAGAGGGGGAUGGAAUUCCGCGUGUAGCAGUGAAAUGCGUAGAUAUGCGGAGGAACACCGAUGGCGAAGGCAAUCCCCUGGGCCUGCACUGACGCUCAUGCACGAAAGCGUGGGGAGCAAACAGGAUUAGAUACCCUGGUAGUCC
rnacentral:rRNA from 1 species